UCCAAUUUCGCACACAGGAUAAGGGAAAACCGAGAAAACAAGCUCAAAACACUGCUGAAACUGGAACUGGUGCUCCAAGCUUUAGCUUUGUGCUUCAAAUGGCCGCUGCAGUCACCAGUUGCUGCUUCUCCGUUCUCACCUCCACCGUUAAAUUCCGUUCCUCUCUUACCUCCCAACGCCGCUUCGCCACUUCUCAGGAUUCCAUUGCCUCUAUCUCUCCCAAAGCUUCCGAUCACAGGCUCAGGGCUACAAAUCCUAAAAGAAGCCCCUCAUCGUCAUCUUUUUCCCACAAGCCCAUCAGAGAGAAACAAGCUGUUCCCCCGAAGAACAUUCCAGGAAGAUCAAACGAUGGCAGGAAUUAUUCGUCCGCUGAUGAAAAUAGUGGAAGAGGGGAUAGGGGGCGUGUUCAAUCAACAUCUUUUAAAUCAUCUGGCAUGCAAAGAAAAGACAACAAGGACUUCCUGUUUGAUAUGAAGGAGCAGCUGGUUGAACCAGAGAAUUUUCAAGAUACAGCUUUUCUUAACGCUGUUGUGAAGGUUUACUGCACCCAUACUGCACCAGAUUAUUCCCUUCCUUGGCAAAAACAAAGACAAUAUACAAGCACUGGAAGUGCUUUUAUGAUUGGGGAUGGAAAGCUUUUGACAAAUGCACAUUGUGUUGAGCAUGAUACACAGGUUAAAGUUAAGAGAAGGGGAGAUGAUACAAAAUAUGUGGCUAAGGUUUUAGCCCGGGGUGUUGAUUGCGAUAUAGCUUUGCUUUCAGUGGAAAGCAAGGAAUUUUGGGAAGGAGCAGAAUCCCUCGAUUUUGGGCGCCUGCCAUGUCUUCAGGAUGCAGUGACGGUUGUAGGAUACCCCCUUGGAGGAGACACCAUAUCAGUGACAAAAGGAGUUGUAUCACGUAUAGAGGUUACGUCAUAUGCUCAUGGGUCAUCUGAUUUGUUGGGAAUUCAGAUAGAUGCGGCAAUAAAUCCUGGUAAUAGUGGUGGCCCUGCAUUCAAUGACCAGGGGGAGUGCAUUGGAGUGGCAUUUCAGGUUUACAGAUCUGAAGAGGCUGAGAAUAUUGGAUAUGUGAUUCCAACUACAGUUGUUUCUCAUUUUCUUGAGGACUAUGAAAGGAAUGGGAAAUACACUGGUUUCCCUAGCCUUGGGGUGUUGUUGCAGAAGUUAGAGAAUCCAGCCCUACGUGCGUGCUUAAAAGUACAGUCUAAUGAGGGUGUACUGGUGCGGAGAGUUGAACCCACUACUGAUGCAAAUAAGGUCUUAAAGGAGGGGGAUGUCAUUGUAAGCUUUGAUGAUGUUCGUGUAGGAUGUGAAGGAACAGUGCCAUUCCGAUCAAAUGAACGCAUUGCAUUUCGCUACCUAAUCAGUCAAAAAUUCGCUGGUGAUGUAGCAGAACUUGGUAUAAUUAGAGCAGGAAAGCCCAUGAAAGUUCAAGCGGUUUUGAAUCCACGAGUGCAUUUGGUUCCCUAUCAUAUUGAUGGAGAUCAGCCUUCUUAUAUAAUAAUUGCUGGUUUGGUGUUUACCCCACUUUCGGAACCACUGAUAGAUGAAGAGUGUGAAGACUCUAUAGGGUUGAAACUACUGGUAAAGGCACGUUAUUCGUUGGCAAGGUUCAAAGGGGAACAGAUUGUGAUCUUAUCACAGGUCUUAGCAAAUGAAGCGAACAUUGGAUACGAGGAUAUGGGCAAUCUGCAAGUUUUGAAAUUCAAUGGAACUCGAAUAAAGAACAUCCAUCACUUGGCACACCUUAUCGAUUCAUGCGAGGAUCAAUAUUUAGUUUUUGAAUUUGAAGACAACUACAUUGCUGUUUUGGAGAGGGAAGCAGCUACUGCUGCUUCAUCCUGCAUUCUCAAAGAUUAUGGAAUUCCCUCAGAAAGAUCUUCUGAUCUGUUGGAGCCAUAUUUAGAUUUAGGGGGAGACAACCAAGCAAUAAUAGAUCAAGAUUUUGGCGAGAGUCCGGUUUCAAAUUUGGAAAUUGGCAUAGAUGGACUCCUCUGGACAUAAUUACAAUUUUCUCAUAGCAGCCAAACUUGGGAAGCGUAGGCAGGCCAACAAAUUGGUUACUCCGAGGAUGUGCUCAUUUUUCCUGCUGUAACAUUUUGAGUGACUUGCACAAGGCUUAACAUUAUUAUGCAUCAAAAGAUGGAUUUGUUGCAAUGAUUGCCCGUUAAAGAUUGGUCUCCAGCUACCACAAGCGUGCGUCUGUUAUCUCCCUUACCGCAAAAGGGAAAUGGAAAUGUACCCUAAAAGGGUGAAAGAAGGCAUUAUCAUUUCAAAUUUGAAAAGAGUUUCAAUACUCAUGGAUUGUCAUAGUUACUUGGCUUGACGACACAGCCACUUUUCACAGAUGUUUCUGAGCCAGGAACCCAAGCAGUCAUUGAAAGCGACAAACUAUAUCAUAUGAUAACCGAGUUCCAAAACUGACACAUUCUGUGUCACAGCUCAAAAGUUUCAAAAAAAAAAAAAAAAAUCUUAUAUUAAUGCCAAAUAUCCAAAAAAAA